UCCUGGUAAAAUGGUUAUAAAUUCAUCCUGACUCACACUUUUUUUCCAGAAUGAAUUUAUAAAAUGAUGAACUCUCACUUCCUAAAUUUUCUGCAGAUGCCACUGUUGCUGGAGAAAUGUCACUGCUAGAGAAUAGAAGACUAUUAUUCCAAAGGGUAUUUGAGACUGACUGAAUCAGGUUUGGAACAUUAUUGAAAUGAGACCCACAAAGGAAGAGAUACUGAGGCCUAACUCUACCAAGAGGAGCAAAAACUGGACACUGUGUAACUUCGCAGAAUUAGCAACACGGACCCGUUACACAUGGCAGCACUGUGCAGUGGUUGGAAGUGCAGCCUUCAAAGCCAACUGCUUGGAUUUGGAAUCUUGCUCUUCCAUUUACAAGCUCUGCAACCUCAGGUAAGUCACUUAUCUUCUCUGUGCCUAUGUCUUCAUCUUUAAGAAGGAAAGUAACAAUAGCUACCUUAUUGUUAU
rnacentral:lncRNA from 1 species